rnacentral:piRNA from 1 species
GAGUGAAUAUGGAUGUGAUUCGUGCCCUC